GGGGAUAUAGCUCAGUAGGUAGAGUGAUAGAAUGCUUGCCUCACAUGCACAAGGCCCUGGGUUCAACCCCCAGCUCCA
rnacentral:tRNA from 1 species